UGGGGAAUAUUGCACAAUGGGCGCAAGCCUGAUGCAGCCAUGCCGCGUGUAUGAAGAAGGCCUUCGGGUUGUAAAGUACUUUCAGUCGGGAGGAAGGUGGUAAGGUUAAUAACCUUAUCAAUUGACGUUACCGACAGAAGAAGCACCGGCUAACUCCGUGCCAGCAGCCGCGGUAAUACGGAGGGUGCAAGCGUUAAUCGGAAUUACUGGGCGUAAAGCGCACGCAGGCGGAUUGUUAAGUCAGAUGUGAAAUCCCCGGGCUCAACCUGGGAAAUGCAUCUGAUACUGGCAAGCUUGGGUCUCGUAGAGGGGGGUAGAAUUCCAGGUGUAGCGGUGAAAUGCGUAGAGAUCUGGAGGAAUACCGGUUGCGAAGGCGGCCCCCUGGACGAAGACUGACGCUCAGGUGAGAAAGCGUGGGGAGCAAACAGG
rnacentral:rRNA from 1 species